rnacentral:rRNA from 1 species
AUGUACAUGCCUACAAUGUUAAUGCAUUGGAUCUCAUUAGGAAUAUGUAGUUAAAUGUGAUUAGGCUAGAGUAGUACUGGGAUGGGUGACCUCCUGAGAAGUCCUAGUGUUAUACAUG